GAAAGGGAGAGUAACGCGUGGAAACCUGCCCUUGGGCCCGGAAUAGCUGUGGGAAACCGCAGGUAAUACCGGAUAAUGUCCCCGGACCAAAGGUGUGAUUCCUCCCAGGGAGGGUUCCGCGUCCUAUUAGCUUGUUGGUGGGGUAACGGCCUACCAAGGCGACGAUGGGUACCGGGUGNGAGAGCAUGACCCGGCUCACUGGGACUGAGACACUGCCCAGACACCUACGGGUGGCUGCAGUCGAGAAUCUUCGGCAAUGGACGCAAGUCUGACCGAGCGACGCCGCGUGCGGGAUGAAGGCCUUCGGGUUGUAAACCGCUGUCGGAGGGGAGGAAAUCCAUGAGGGCUAUCCUUCAUGGUUGACCUAUCCUCGGAGGAAGGACGGGCUAAGUUCGUGCCAGCAGCCGCGGUAACACGAACCGUCCGAACGUUAUUCGGAAUCAUUGGGCUUAAAGGGUGCGUAGGCGGCGCGAAAAGUUGGGUGUGAAAUCCCUCGGCUCAACCGAGGAACUGCGCCCAAUACUGUCGUGCUCGAGGGAGACAGANGUAAGCGGAACUGAUGGUGGAGCGGUGAAAUGCGUUUGAUAUCAUCA
rnacentral:rRNA from 1 species